UUUAUACAAAGUACUGUAUAUCAUCAUAAAUCAAGUGAUUUACAGAUUAAAGCUUCCAUUCGAUAUAACUCCAUUCUUUUGCUGGUGUGCUUUACCAUUAAAGCAAGUUUAGGCUCAUUGAAUUGAACAAUUUUGAAUAGUUUAUGGAGUACUUAAUAGUAACAAGAAUCAAAGUUGAUUAGUUCAUUUCAGUGACUGUUUGAUAUAAAUUUCUUCUUG
rnacentral:lncRNA from 1 species